rnacentral:lncRNA from 1 species
GCACUUGUCAAGGCUUCCUCUAGUUCUGGAUCAAGAGCAAUUUUUUCUUCUGCAUAAGACUGGGCAGGCUUUUGCUUCGGGAUAAAUACUUUCCCUUUCUUUUCUUUUGUAAAAGGCACGUAGUCUUCCCUGUCUUUGUGCUCAAGAGCUUGCUUCUCCAAAUAUGCAAGGAGUCGUUCUCUGUCAAAAGGACCCGAGGCCUUUUUAGCAGUCUGGUCCUUCUGUCGGAAGCCUGCAGGCAGAAGUGCAUUCUCAGGGUCAAGAUCAUCCAAAACCGUUUCCAGCUGUUUCAGUUCUUCUUCUGAUAGUUUGCCUAGAAUGUCAUCCUCAUCAAGAUCUUUGUACUUGUCCAAGUCUUUUCGAAACGGGAGCGUCAUGACUUGGGCAGUAACAAGCUGCUCAAAUGCUUCAGAACCCGAGUCUUAUUCUUAACCAGAUCCGGGCAGGCGGCAGCGACUCAGCUCCCACAGCCGCCUCCCAGCCGCGACGCGCA